rnacentral:rRNA from 1 species
GUGCCAGCCGCCGCGGUAAUACGGAGGGUGCAAGCGUUAAUCGGAAUCACUGGGCGUAAAGCGCACGUAGGCGGCCCGUUAAGUCAGAUGUGAAACCCCUGGGCUCAACCUGGGAAUGGCAUUUGAUACUAGCGGGCUCGAGUCUGAUAGAGGGGGGUGGAAUUCCAGGUGUAGCGGUGAAAUGCGUAGAUAUCUGGAGGAACACCGGUGGCGAAGGCGGCCCCCUGGAUCAUGACUGACGCUGAGGUGCGAAAGCGUGGGUAGCAAACAGGAUUAGAUACCCUGGUAGUCC